rnacentral:rRNA from 1 species
GACGAACGCUGGCGGCGUGCUUAACACAUGCAAGUCGAGCGGUAAGGCCCUUUCGGGGGUACGACGAGCGGCGAACGGGUGAGUAACACGUGGGUGACCUGCCCUCAGCUCUGGGAUAAGCCUGGGAAACCGGGUCUAAUACUGGAUAUGACUCCAUGACGCAUGUUGGUGGGGUGGAAAGCCUUGUGCGGCUGAGGAUGGGCCCGCGGCCUAUCAGCUUGUUGGUGGGGUGAGGCCUACCAAGGCGACGACGGGUAGCCGGCCUGAGAGGGCGACCGGCCACACUGGGACUGAGACACGGCCCAGACUCCUACGGGAGGCAGCAGUGGGGAAUUUUCCGCAAUGGGCGAAAGCCUGACGGAGUGACGCCGCGUGUGGGACGAAGGCCUUCGGU